ACAGACGAGUUUGAUCCUGGCUCAGAUUGAACGCUGGCGGCAUGCUUACACAUGCAAGUCGAACGGUAACAGGCCUUCGGGUGCUGACGAGUGGCGAACGGGUGAGUAAUACAUCGGAACGUGCCCAAUCGUGGGGGAUAACGUAGCGAAAGUUACGCUAAUACCGCAUAAGCCCUGAGGGGGAAAGCAGGGGAUCGCAAGACCUUGCGCGAAUGGAGCGGCCGAUGUCAGAUUAGCUAGUUGGUGGGGUAAAGGCCUACCAAGGCGACGAUCUGUAGCGGGUCUGAGAGGAUGAUCCGCCACACUGGGACUGAGACACGGCCCAGACUCCUACGGGAGGCAGCAGUGGGGAAUUUUGGACAAUGGGCGCAAGCCUGAUCCAGCCAUGCCGCGUGCGGGACGAAGGCCUUCGGGUUGUAAACCGCUUUCAGCCGGAAAGAAAUCGCCAAGGCUAAUAUCCUUGGUGGAUGACGGUACCGGAAGAAGAAGCACCGGCUAACUACGUG
rnacentral:rRNA from 1 species